rnacentral:rRNA from 1 species
UACGAAGGGGGCUAGCGUUGCUCGGAAUCACUGGGCGUAAAGCGCACGUAGGCGGAUCUUUAAGUCAGGGGUGAAAUCCUGGAGCUCAACUCCAGAACUGCCUUUGAUACUGGGGAUCUCGAGUCCGGGAGAGGUGAGUGGAACUGCGAGUGUAGAGGUGAAAUUCGUAGAUAUUCGGAAGAACACCAGUGGCGAAGGCGACUUACUGGACACAUAUUGACGCUGAGGUGCGAAAGCGUGGGGAGCAAACAGG